rnacentral:rRNA from 1 species
UUAAGCGACUAAGCGUACACGGUGGAUGCCCUGGCAGUCAGAGGCGAUGAAGGGCGUGCUAAUCUGCGAUAAGCGCCGGUAAGGUGAUAUGAACCGUUAUAACCGGCGAUACCCGAAUGGGGAAACCCAGUGUGACUCGUCACACUAUCAUUAACUGAAUCCAUAGGUUAAUGAGGCGAACCGGGGGAACUGAAACAUCUAAGUACCCCGAGGAAAAGAAAUCAACCGAGAUUCCCCCAGUAGCGGCGAGCGAACGGGGAGGAGCCCAGAGCCUGAAUCAGCAUGUGUGUUAGUGGAAGCGUCUGGAAAGGCGCGCGAUACAGGGUGACAGCCCCGUACACAAAAGCGCAUGUGCUGUGAGCUCGAUGAGUAGGGCGGGACACGUGGUAUCCUGUCUGAAUAUGGGGGGACCAUCCUCCAAGGCUAAAUACUCCUGACUGACCGAUAGUGAACCAGUACCGUGAGGGAAAGGCGAAAAGAACCCCGGCGAGGGGAGUGAAAAAGAACCUGAAACCGUGUACGUACAAGCAGUGGGAGCACAGGUUUACCUGUGUGACUGCGUACCUUUUGUAUAAUGGGUCAGCGACUUAUAUUCUGUAGCAAGGUUAACCGCAUAGGGGAGCCGGAGGGAAACCGAGUCUUAAUUGGGCGUUAAGUUGCAGGGUAUAGACCCGAAACCCGGUGAUCUAGCCAUGGGCAGGUUGAAGGUUGGGUAACACUAACUGGAGGACCGAACCGACUAAUGUUGAAAAAUUAGCGGAUGACCUGUGGCUGGGGGUGAAAGGCCAAUCAAACCGGGAGAUAGCUGGUUCUCCCCGAAAGCUAUUUAGGUAGCGCCUCGUGAACUCAUCUCCGGGGGUAGAGCACUGUUUCGGCUAGGGGGCCAUCCCGGCUUACCAACCCGAUGCAAACUGCGAAUACCGGAGAAUGUUAUCACGGGAGACACACGGCGGGUGCUAACGUCCGUCGUGAAGAGGGAAACAACCCAGACCGCCAGCUAAGGUCCCAAAGUCAUGGUUAAGUGGGAAACGAUGUGGGAAGGCCCAGACAGCCAGGAUGUUGGCUUAGAAGCAGCCAUCAUUUAAAGAAAGCGUAAUAGCUCACUGGUCGAGUCGGCCUGCGCGGAAGAUGUAACGGGGCUAAACCAUGCACCGAAGCUGCGGCAGCGACGCUUAUGCGUUGUUGGGUAGGGGAGCGUUCUGUAAGCCUGUGAAGGUGGCCUGUGAGGGUUGCUGGAGGUAUCAGAAGUGCGAAUGCUGACAUAAGUAACGAUAAAGCGGGUGAAAAGCCCGCUCGCCGGAAGACCAAGGGUUCCUGUCCAACGUUAAUCGGGGCAGGGUGAGUCGACCCCUAAGGCGAGGCCGAAAGGCGUAGUCGAUGGGAAACGGGUUAAUAUUCCCGUACUUGGUGUUACUGCGAAGGGGGGACGGAGAAGGCUAUGUUGGCCGGGCGACGGUUGUCCCGGUUUAAGCGUGUAGGCUGGUUUUCCAGGCAAAUCCGGAAAAUCAAGGCUGAGGCGUGAUGACGAGGCACUACGGUGCUGAAGCAACAAAUGCCCUGCUUCCAGGAAAAGCCUCUAAGCAUCAGGUAACAUCAAAUCGUACCCCAAACCGACACAGGUGGUCAGGUAGAGAAUACCAAGGCGCUUGAGAGAACUCGGGUGAAGGAACUAGGCAAAAUGGUGCCGUAACUUCGGGAGAAGGCACGCUGACAUGUAGGUGAAGUGAUUUACUCACGGAGCUGAAGUCAGUCGAAGAUACCAGCUGGCUGCAACUGUUUAUUAAAAACACAGCACUGUGCAAACACGAAAGUGGACGUAUACGGUGUGACGCCUGCCCGGUGCCGGAAGGUUAAUUGAUGGGGUCAGCGCAAGCGAAGCUCCUGAUCGAAGCCCCGGUAAACGGCGGCCGUAACUAUAACGGUCCUAAGGUAGCGAAAUUCCUUGUCGGGUAAGUUCCGACCUGCACGAAUGGCGUAAUGAUGGCCAGGCUGUCUCCACCCGAGACUCAGUGAAAUUGAACUCGCUGUGAAGAUGCAGUGUACCCGCGGCAAGACGGAAAGACCCCGUGAACCUUUACUAUAGCUUGACACUGAACAUUGAGCCUUGAUGUGUAGGAUAGGUGGGAGGCUUUGAAGUGUGGACGCCAGUCUGCAUGGAGCCGACCUUGAAAUACCACCCUUUAAUGUUUGAUGUUCUAACGUGGACCCGUUACCCGGGUUGCGGACAGUGUCUGGUGGGUAGUUUGACUGGGGCGGUCUCCUCCUAAAGAGUAACGGAGGAGCACGAAGGUUGGCUAAUCCUGGUCGGACAUCAGGAGGUUAGUGCAAUGGCAUAAGCCAGCUUGACUGCGAGCGUGACGGCGCGAGCAGGUGCGAAAGCAGGUCAUAGUGAUCCGGUGGUUCUGAAUGGAAGGGCCAUCGCUCAACGGAUAAAAGGUACUCCGGGGAUAACAGGCUGAUACCGCCCAAGAGUUCAUAUCGACGGCGGUGUUUGGCACCUCGAUGUCGGCUCAUCACAUCCUGGGGCUGAAGUAGGUCCCAAGGGUAUGGCUGUUCGCCAUUUAAAGUGGUACGCGAGCUGGGUUUAGAACGUCGUGAGACAGUUCGGUCCCUAUCUGCCGUGGGCGCUGGAGAACUGAGGGGGGCUGCUCCUAGUACGAGAGGACCGGAGUGGACGCAUCACUGGUGUUCGGGUUGUCAUGCCAAUGGCACUGCCCGGUAGCUAAAUGCGGAAGAGAUAAGUGCUGAAAGCAUCUAAGCACGAAACUUGCCCCGAGAUGAGUUCUCCCUGAGACUUAGAGUCUCCUGAAGGAACGUUGAAGACGACGACGUUGAUAGGCCGGGUGUGUAAGCGCAGCGAUGCGUUGAGCUAACCGGUACUAAUGAACCGUGAGGCUUAACCUU